UAAUCCGACCUAGGCUCAUCUGAUAGCGCGAGGCCCGAAGGUCCCCUGCUUUCUCCCGUAGGACGUAUGCGGUAUUAGCGUUCCUUUCGAAACGUUGUCCCCCACUACCAGGCAGAUUCCUAGGCAUUACUCACCCGUCCGCCGCUGAAUUCAGGAGCAAGCUCCUGUCAUCCGCUCGACUUGCAUGUGUUAGGCCUGCCGCCAGCGUUCAAUCUGAGCCAGGAUCAAACUCU
rnacentral:rRNA from 1 species